AUGUCUUGUUUUAAGUUACUAAGGGGACUCUGCGAGCAUCUGAAUAAGCUUAUAAGGCAAUUUUGGUGGGGAAGUAAGGAAGGAAAACGCAAGCCAGCUUGGGUUUCUUGUAAAUAUAUGACUCAACCCAAAUUCAUGGGUGGAUUAGGCUUUCAUGACUUUGAGCUGUUCGAUCUAGCGCUCCUAGCAAGGCAAUCUUGGUGGCUGCUGCAACAACCGGAAUCUUUGUCUGCGAGGCUUUUGAAGGCCAUCUAUUUUCCUCAAAAUACAAUACUAGAUGCUAAGCUUUGUAACCGGCCUUCAUAGGUUUGGCGGGCCAUUUUGGAAGGAAGACUGAUUAGGAGAAUUGGUGAUGGAUCAGCAACAAAAAUAUGGCUGGACAAUUGGAUCCCGAGAAAUGCUACAUUGAGUCCAUUGGCUUAUUUAUUGGCUAACCCACCAGUGAUGGUAAACGAGUUGAUUGACACACACAAUGCAACAUGGAAUAGAGUGGCUCUAGAACAGAGCUUUGUAGCGGCAGAUAUAGCAACAAUUUCAAGCAUUUCGAUCUAUAUACGACUGAUAGAGGACCAUUGGGCAUGGAACUUUGAAAGGAAUGGUUUAUUCUCAGUAAUGUCAGCAUAUCGCAUGUUGACAGACAGAAAGAGGAGGAGGGAAGCAUGGCUAGAAGGCAAUGCUAGCUCAUUGGAUUUCGAAGUUGAAGCCCACAUGGACGUCCCUGUGGUCUGUCAAAGUGCCGAUACGUAA
rnacentral:rRNA from 1 species